rnacentral:rRNA from 1 species
AGUGAACGCUGGCGGUAGACCUAACACAUGCAAGUCGAACGGCAGCACAGUAAGAGCUUGCUCUUACGGGUGGCGAGUGGCGGACGGGUGAGGAAUACAUCGGAAUCUACUUUUUCGUGGGGGAUAACGUAGGGAAACUUACGCUAAUACCGCAUACGACCUACGGGUGAAAGCAGGGGAUCUUCGGACCUUGCGCGAUUGAAUGAGCCGAUGUCGGAUUAGCCAGUUGGCGGGGUAAAGGCCCACCAAGGCGACGAUCCGUAGCUGGUCUGAGAGGAUGAUCAGCCACACUGGAACUGAGACACGGUCCAGACUCCUACGGGAGGCAGCAGUGGGGAAUAUUGGACAAUGGGCGCAAGCCUGAUCCAGCCAUACCGCGUGGGUGAAGAAGGCCUUCGGGUUGUAAAGCCCUUUUGUUGGGAAAGAAAAGCAGCAGGUUAAUACCCCGCUGUUCUGACGGUACCCAAAGAAUAAGCACCGGCUAACUUCGUG